ACAGCAGCAGCCGCGGUAAUACGGAGGGGGCUAGCGUUGUUCGGAAUUACUGGGCGUAAAGCGCACGUAGGCGGCUUGGUAAGUUAGAGGUGAAAGCCCGGAGCUCAACUCCGGAAUUGCCUUUAAGACUGCCGAGCUAGCAGGUGAGAGAGGUAAGUGGAAUUCCGAGUGUAGAGGUGAAAUUCGUAGAUAUUCGGAAGAACACCAGUGGCGAAGGCGACUGACUGGACAAGUAUUGACGCUGAGGUGCGAAAGUGUGGGGAGCGAACAGGAUUAGAUACCCCCGUAGUCCCUGUCUCUUAUAC
rnacentral:rRNA from 1 species